UACAGAGGUGCCAAGCGUUAGGCGGAAUCACUGGGCUUAAAGCGCGUGUAGGUGGGUCGUUAAGUGUCCGCGUGAAAUCCCACGGCUCAACCGUGGAACUGCCGGGCAUACUGGCGAUCUUGAGGCAUUCAGGGGCGAGCGGAACAAAUGGUGGAGCGGUGAAAUGCGUAGAUAUCAUUUGGAACGCCAAUGGUGAAAACAGCUCGCUGGGAAUGAUCUGACGCUGAGACGCGAAAGCCAGGGGAGCGAACGGG
rnacentral:rRNA from 1 species